rnacentral:rRNA from 1 species
UACGUAGGGGGCAAGCGUUGUCCGGAUUUAUUGGGCGUAAAGAGCGUGUAGGCGGCUUGGUAGGUCUGCUGUGAAAACUCGAGGCUCAACCUCGAGCUGUCGGCGGAAACCACUUGGCUAGAGUCCGGAAGAGGAGAGUGGAAUUCCUGGUGUAGCGGUGAAAUGCGCAGAUAUCAGGAGGAACACCGGUAGUGAAGGCGGCUCUGGGACCGUA